rnacentral:rRNA from 1 species
UAACGACUCUCGGCAACGGAUAUCUCGGCUCUCGCAUCGAUGAAGAACGUAGCGAAAUGCGAUACUUGGUGUGAAUUGCAGAAUCCCGUGAACCAUCGAGUCUUUGAACGCAAGUUGCGCCCCAAGUCGUUAGGCUGAGGGCACGUCUGCCUGGGUGUCACG